rnacentral:rRNA from 1 species
CGCAGCGACGCCGCGUGCGGGAAGAAGGCCUUCGGGUUGUAAACCGCUUUCAGGAGGGACGAAGCCACUCGGGUGAAUAGCCCAGAGGGUGACGGUACCUCCAGAAGAAGCCCCGGCUAACUACGUGCCAGCAGCCGCGGUAAUACGUAGGGGGCUAGCGUUGUCCGGAUUUAUUGGGCGUAAAGCGCGUGUAGGCGGCCAGAUAGGUCUGCUGUGAAAACUCGAGGCUCUACCUCGAGCUGUCGGCGGAAACCAUCCGGCUAGAGUCCGGAAGAGGAGAGUGGAAUUCCCGGUGUAGCGGUGAAAUGCGCAGAUAUCGGGAAGAACACCUGUGGCGAAGGCGGCUCUCUGGGACGGUACUGACGCUGAGACGCGAAAGCGUGGGGAGCAAACAGGAUUAGAUACCCUGGUAGUCCACGCCGUAAACGAUGGGUGCUAGGUGUGGGGAGUGCCAACUCUCUCCGCGCCGAAGCUAACGCAUUAAGCACCCCGCCUGGGGAGUACGGCCGCAAGGCUA